rnacentral:rRNA from 1 species
GUCGAACGAGUUCUGAUUAUUGAAAGGUGCUUGCAUCUUGAUUUAAUUUUGAACGAGUGGCGGACGGGUGAGUAACACGUGGGUAACCUGCCCUUAAGUGGGGGAUAACAUUUGGAAACAGAUGCUAAUACCGCAUAAAUCCAAGAACCGCAUGGUUCUUGGCUGAAAGAUGGCGUAAGCUAUCGCUUUUGGAUGGACCCGCGGCGUAUUAGCUAGUUGGUGAGGUAACGGCUCACCAAGGCAAUGAUACGUAGCCGAACUGAGAGGUUGAUCGGCCACAUUGGGACUGAGACACGGCCCAAACUCCUACGGGAGGCAGCAGUAGGGAAUCUUCCACAAUGGACGCAAGUCUGAUGGAGCAACGCCGCGUGAGUGAAGAAGGCUUUCGGGUCGUAAAACUCUGUUGUUGGAGAAGAAUGGUCGGCAGAGUAACUGUUGUCGGCGUGACGGUAUCCAACCAGAAAGCCACGGCUAACUACGUGCCAGCAGCCGCGGUAAUACGUAGGUGGCAAGCGUUAUCCGGAUUUAUUGGGCGUAAAGCGAGCGCAGGCGGUUUUUUAAGUCUGAUGUGAAAGCCCUCGGCUUAACCGAGGAAGUGCAUCGGAAACUGGGAAACUUGAGUGCAGAAGAGGACAGUGGAACUCCAUGUGUAGCGGUGAAAUGCGUAGAUAUAUGGAAGAACACCAGUGGCGAAGGCGGCUGUCUGGUCUGUAACUGACGCUGAGGCUCGAAAGCAUGGGUAGCGAACAGGAUUAGAUACCCUGGUAGUCCAUGCCGUAAACGAUGAAUGCUAGGUGUUGGAGGGUUUCCGCCCUUCAGUGCCGCAGCUAACGCAUUAAGCAUUCCGCCUGGGGAGUACGACCGCAAGGUUGAAACUCAAAGGAAUUGACGGGGGCCCGCACAAGCGGUGGAGCAUGUGGUUUAAUUCGAAGCAACGCGAAGAACCUUACCAGGUCUUGACAUCUUUUGAUCACCUGAGAGAUCAGGUUUCCCCUUCGGGGGCAAAAUGACAGGUGGUGCAUGGUUGUCGUCAGCUCGUGUCGUGAGAUGUUGGGUUAAGUCCCGCAACGAGCGCAACCCUUAUGACUAGUUGCCAGCAUUUAGUUGGGCACUCUAGUAAGACUGCCGGUGACAAACCGGAGGAAGGUGGGGAUGACGUCAAAUCAUCAUGCCCCUUAUGACCUGGGCUACACACGUGCUACAAUGGAUGGUACAACGAGUUGCGAGACCGCGAGGUCAAGCUAAUCUCUUAAAGCCAUUCUCAGUUCGGACUGUAGGCUGCAACUCGCCUACACGAAGUCGGAAUCGCUAGUAAUCGCGGAUCAGCACGCCGCGGUGAAUACGUUCCCGGGCCUUGUACACACCGCCCGUCACACCAUGAGAGUUUGUAACACCCGAAGCCGGUGGCGUAACCCUUUU